rnacentral:rRNA from 1 species
AGUGAACGCUGGCGGUAGGCCUAACACAUGCAAGUCGAACGGCAGCACAGUAAGAGCUUGCUCUUACGGGUGGCGAGUGGCGGACGGGUGAGGAAUACAUCGGAAUCUACUUUUUCGUGGGGGAUAACGUAGGGAAACUUACACUAAUACCGCAUACGACCUACGGGUGAAAGCAGGGGAUCUUCGGACCUUGCGCGAUUGAAUGAGCCGAUGUCGGAUUAGCUAGUUGGCGGGGUAAAGGCCCACCAAGGCGACGAUCCGUAGCGGGUCUGAGAGGAUGAUCAGCCACACUGGAACUGAGACACGGUCCAGACUCCUACGGGAGGCAGCAGUGGGGAAUAUUGGACAAUGGGCGCAAGCCUGAUCCAGCCAUACCGCGUGGGUGAAGAAGGCCUUCGGGUUGUAAAGCCCUUUUGUUGGGAAAGAAAAGCAGCAGGUUAAUACCCCGCUGUUCUGACGGUACCCAAAGAAUAAGCACCGGCUAACUUCGUG